GACGUAGGGCGCGAGCGUUGUCCGGAUUUAUUGGGCGUAAAGAGCUCGUAGGCGGCUUGUCGCGUCGUCCGUCGAAAACCUGCGGCUCAACUGCAGGCUGGCGGUCGAUACGGGCAGGCUGGAGUUCGGUAGGGGAGACUGGAAUUCCUGGUGUAGCGGUGAAAUGCGUUGAGAUCGGAAGGAACGCCCGUGGCGAAAGCGAGGUCCUGGACGCCUACUGACGCUGAGACGCGAAAGCCAGGGGAGCGAACGGG
rnacentral:rRNA from 1 species